rnacentral:rRNA from 1 species
UAACAAGGUUUCCGUAGGUUAAGUUCAGCCUGCCAGAGCAGCCUCAUAAAUGCUAGUUGGCCUCGUCAUUAGCCAGCGACACGCCCACUGUGCGGAAAAGCCCUGCCAGGGAAACCCGCAGCCCACCCCCCCUACCCGGGGGUGGGUUCAGAGACUCAAUAGGCGUGGGUCUGGCUUCGCGCCAGGCUUGAGAUAGAGCCCGUCCCCGCCGGCCACGGUGGGGAGCACACGGAACCUGCGGAAGGAUCAUUA